rnacentral:rRNA from 1 species
UACAGAGGGGGCAAGCGUUAUUCGGAAUUAUUGGGCGUAAAGGGCGCGUAGGCGGUUUGGCAAGUCAGGGGUGAAAUCCCUCGGCUCAACCGAGGAAUUGCCUUUGAAACUGCCUUACUAGAGACCGGGAGAGGGUAGUGGAAUUCCCAGUGUAGCGGUGAAAUGCGUAGAUAUUGGGAGGAACACCAGUAGCGAAGGCGGCUACCUGGACCGGUUCUGACGCUGAGGCGCGAAAGUGUGGGUAGCAAACAGG